rnacentral:rRNA from 1 species
UACUCGAGUGGCGAACGGGUGAGUAACACGUGGGUGAUCUGCCCUGCACUUCGGGAUAAGCCUGGGAAACUGGGUCUAAUACCGGAUAGGAGCCAUUUUUAGUGUGAUGGUUGGAAAGUUUUUUCGGUGUAGGAUGAGCUCGCGGCCUAUCAGCUUGUUGGUGGGGUAAUGGCCUACCAAGGCGGCGACGGGUAGCCGGCCUGAGAGGGUGGACGGCCACAUUGGGACUGAGAUACGGCCCAGACUCCUACGGGAGGCAGCAGAC